rnacentral:rRNA from 1 species
GACGAACGCUGGCGGCGUGCUUAACACAUGCAAGUCGAACGGAAAGGCCCUGCUUGCAGGGUACUCGAGUGGCGAACGGGUGAGUAACACGUGGGUGAUCUGCCCUGCACUUCGGGAUAAGCUUGGGAAACUGGGUCUAAUACCGGAUAGGAACCAUCUUUAGUGUGGUGGUUGGAAAGUUUUUUCGGUGUAGGAUGAGCUCGCGGCCUAUCAGCUUGUUGGUGGGGUAAUGGCCUACCAAGGCGGCGACGGGUAGCCGGCCUGAGAGGGUGUACGGCCACAUUGGGACUGAGAUACGGCCCAGACUCCUACGGGAGGCAGCAGUGGGGAAUAUUGCACAAUGGGCGCAAGCCUGAUGCAGCGACGCCGCGUGGGGGAUGAAGGCCUUCGGGUUGUAAACUCCUUUCGCUAAGGACGAAGCUUUGUUGUGACGGUACCUAGAUAAGAAGCACCGGCUAACUACGUG